rnacentral:sRNA from 1 species
GGGAUAGCUCCGUACUGCCGUCAGACCCCCGACCCGGCGGCAGUGCGGGGCUCUUAU